rnacentral:rRNA from 1 species
AAACUAACAAGGAUUUUCUUAGUAGCGGCGAGUGAAGCGGCAAAAGCUCAAAUUUGAAAUCUGGCACUUUCAGUGUCCGAGUUGUAAUUUGUAGAAGUAGUUUUGGGACUAGUCCUUAUCUAUGUUUCUUGGAACAGGACGUCAUAGAGGGUGAGAACCCCGUAUGAUGAGGCCCCCAGUCCUUUGUAAAACGCUUUCGAAGAGUCGAGUUGUUUGGGAAUGCAGCUCUAAGUGGGUGGUAAAUUCCAUCUAAAGCUAAAUAUUGGCGAGAGACCGAUAGCGAACAAGUACAGUGAUGGAAAGAUGAAAAGAACUUUGAAAAGAGAGUGAAAAAGUACGUGAAAUUGUUGAAAGGGAAGGGCAUUUGAUCAGACAUGGUGUUUUGCGCCCUUUGCUCCUUGUGGGCGGAGGAUACGCAGCUCACUGGGCCAACAUCAGUUUUGGGAGCAGGAUAAAUCUGUAGGAACGUAGCUUUCUUCGGGAAUGUUAUAGCCUACGGGAAUACUGCUACCUGGGGACCAGGA